ACCCUUCAUGGGCGAGUCCGACUCGCACUUGGCCGCUUUUUUUAGGUAUUUGUUAUUAUAGCGGCAACAGAAAUACAUCAUCUUUGAAAAUUUCAACUCUAUCACGGUUUAUGAGAUACAGCCUGGUGACAGACCGACGGACAGUGGAGUCUUAGUAAUAGGGUCCCGUUUUUACCC